rnacentral:rRNA from 1 species
AUUGAACGCUGGCGGCAUGCCUUACACAUGCAAGUCGAACGGUAACAGGUUAAGCUGACGAGUGGCGAACGGGUGAGUAAUAUAUCGGAACGUGCCCAGUCGUGGGGGAUAACUGCUCGAAAGAGCAGCUAAUACCGCAUACGACCUGAGGGUGAAAGCGGGGGAUCGCAAGACCUCGCGCGAUUGGAGCGGCCGAUAUCAGAUUAGGUAGUUGGUGGGGUAAAAGCCCACCAAGCCAACGAUCUGUAGCUGGUCUGAGAGGACGACCAGCCACACUGGGACUGAGACACGGCCCAGACUCCUACGGGAGGCAGCAGUGGGGAAUUUUGGACAAUGGGCGCAAGCCUGAUCCGGCCAUGCCGCGUGCGGGAAGAAGGCCUUCGGGUUGUAAACCGCUUUUGUCAGGGAAGAAAAGGUUCUGGUUAAUACCUGGGACUCAUGACGGUACCUGAAGAAUAAGCACCGGCUAACUACGUGCCAGCCGCCGCUGUAACAC